UUAUGACAACUUCCGGAGGACGUCCUCCAGCCUAUCGUACUGAAAGCAUAAGCUACAGCUAGCUAGCACUGCAUUGUAUAAAAUGUGGUGAGUAGUUGACUCAAAGAGAGAGAAAGGCAAUAGUUGAACAGUUUUUAACAAAUUAAUUUAUACCAAAAUGAAGGAGAAGCAGAGAUCUCUUUUUUUCACUUACUUAGCUAGAAAAUGCAGCUAGCCAGUUUAGUCUACUGAAACACCCUGCUCAAACAGAGGGAUGCUUUGUUAGGUAGCUGGCUGCGACUUUCCAACACAACACUGGAACUCUUCCAAGUCAAGGCGGCAUGAAACACACGCCAUGGUCCCAGGGUCUGCUGGGGGUGUGGCCAGCCAGGCCAUCUGCGCCAGGAUUGGACCCCU
rnacentral:lncRNA from 1 species